rnacentral:lncRNA from 1 species
AGGGUUGGGCUGUGUGGGGAGGACUGGCACUGGAAGGCAGCAUUGCACCAACAGCCAGUGCUGCUCCUCGGGGUAAUACCAAAUUAUUGACAGUUUCAACAGUAAUAGCAAAGAUUUCUUUGCUUGUGUCGUGGUGCAGAGACAGGAGCAGAGUCACUCCUGGGAGCUGUGGUGAUUGAACUGCCCCAUGACAGCUGAUCUGCAGCAGUGUUACUGAUUUGUUUUAUUUCUAAAGUCUUUCUAGAUUGAUAGCACUUAACCACCCUCAGUGCAGCCCUCGCUGUGGAGGAGCCCAGGGCAGCCCCUCCACUCCGUAUUUAUUUCUGCCAAGCUGGCUGUAGGUGUAGCUCUUCCUUCAGUGGGUGAGUAGGCAAAGGGGUGGGUGGGGGUGGGAGUUACUUCUGUUCUGUGUUUUGUUAAGCUUGCAUCAAGGGCUUUUCAAGAGUACAAUAAUAAAUCCUCAGGUAGUACUGGGAAUCGAUCCUUUACCUGUGAGACUGUUGGUCAGACCAGUACUUGAAAGGAGGAAUGUUGUAAUCAGUCGAUAUUUAGUUAUAUUAUUGGAAACAGGAAAAAUGAGUAUAGAAAAAUGGUAAUAUAUAAUGGCUCAUCUGUGUAUUUAAGAUACAUUCUGUGAUUGCUUUGUCCCCACUGUUCUCUGCAGCGUGGGCAGGACCCUGCCCUGAGGCACCAUUCGUACCCCUUUGUAUUAAAGUGCAUGAGAAGUCUGCGGUGUCCCGAUGAAACACCACGUGCUUGAAAGGUGACAGAACUUAUAUUCCUGCUUCCUGAUGUGCCCAAACGAUAUUUGCAUGACCUGAUCCUUAGUGGCUGUGGUUCAGAGGGUGUUGCUGAGUCUCUCUGUUCAGCACUGGACCGAUUGGUGUUUAUCAGAGCCCGUGUACUCGCCUAAUCCUUGGCAUGACUUCCCGUGGGAUCCCGUGUGCUCCGUGUGCCCGGUGGUAGCAUGUUCCUUUCAGCUGAGUGAGUGUAGUACAGACAUUCCAGAGAGCUCAGGCAGCCCUGCCACACCUCCCCUGGCCCUGGCACACCUGGGGAAGGAAACAAACCAAACCCACCUCUGGCCACCUUCCCAAGAGGGGAUAUUUUAAAUCCUAGGGCUGGCAGAAAAAGAAAGGAUCUUUCCUUUGAAUACAGAGUUAUUCCAUUGCAAAUGAUUCUACCCAAAGUUCCUGCGGAUGAGAGAAGAGCUUUGAGCAGCCUCUUGGUGCCUGUUUCUCCCCUGUGUUCCAGGCCCUGACCCUGGCUGGGACACAGUGACUGUGCCCAGAGCCCAGGGAGGUGUGGGCAGGGCUGGGAGUGCUGAGCUGUGCCCAUUUGUUUGCUGUCCUGUACUGUCUGUGGUAGUUGGGGGGUGUAUAUACCGUAGCACAGUGGGGUGUUGGGUAACCUGUUCUUGGAAAUGGACAAACAUCCAUGUUAGACUCGUUAGAAAGUUAGUGAGCUGCUCUGCUAUCUGCCUUAAGCAAAUAUUUACUCAUCAGGUCUUUCUUUUUUACAGAUUGCCAUAGAAUAAACUUUUAUAAAAAAAAUGUAAAAACUCAACAAAAAAGCUGAAUGUUUUGGUAUAAUACAGUUUCAGGUAUCUUGUCUUUUGUGUAAGCCGCUGCUGGGCCUCCCAGGUUAGAGUACAACUGUACAGUUUUUCAAUCUCCCAUACAAGUUUUCAGUUCUCAUUUUAGUUGUAACAAUAAAACUCUUUUUUUAAAGAACUCA